rnacentral:rRNA from 1 species
CAGUAGGGAAUCUUCCACAAUGGACGAAAGUCUGAUGGAGCAACGCCGCGUGAGUGAAGAAGGGUUUCGGCUCGUAAAACUCUGUUGUUAGAGAAGAACAUAUCUGAGAGUAACUGUUCAGGUAUUGACGGUAUUUAACCAGAAAGCCACGGCUAACUACGUGCCAG